CCUACGGGAGGCAGCAGUGGGGAAUCUUGCGCAAUGGGCGAAAGCCUGACGCAGCAACGCCGCGUGCGGGAAGAAGGCCUUCGGGUUGUAAACCGCUUUCAGCAGGAACGAAAAUGACGGUACCUGCAGAAGAAGGAGCGGCCAACUACGUGCCAGCAGCCGCGGUGACACGUAGGCUCCAAGCGUUGUCCGGAUUUAUUGGGCGUAAAGAGCUCGUAGGCGGUUCAGUAAGUCGGGUGUGAAAACUCUGGGCUCAACCCAGAGCCUGCAUUCGAAACUGCUGUGACUAGAGUUUGGUAGGGGAGCGGGGAAUUCCUAGUGUAGCGGUGAAAUGCGCAGAUAUUAGGAGGAACACCGGUGGCGAAAGCGCCGCUCUGGGCCAAUACUGACGCUGAGGAGCGAAAGCGUGGGUAGCAAACAGGAUUAGAUACCCUGGUAGUCCACGCCGUAAACGAUGGGCACUAGGUGUGGGGUUUCAACUAACGAAAUCCGUGCCGUCGCUAACGCAUUAAGUGCCCCGCCUGGGGAGUACGGUCGCAAGACUAAAACUCAAAUGAAUUGACG
rnacentral:rRNA from 1 species